rnacentral:rRNA from 1 species
AUUGAACGCUGGCGGCAUGCUUUACACAUGCAAGUCGAACGGUAACAGGCCGCAAGGUGCUGACGAGUGGCGAACGGGUGAGUAAUGCAUCGGAACGUGCCCAGUCGUGGGGGAUAACUACUCGAAAGAGUAGCUAAUACCGCAUACGAUCUAUGGAUGAAAGCGGGGGACCGUAAGGCCUCGCGCGAUUGGAGCGGCCGAUGUCAGAUUAGGUAGUUGGUGGGGUAAAGGCUCACCAAGCCAACGAUCUGUAGCUGGUCUGAGAGGACGACCAGCCACACUGGGACUGAGACACGGCCCAGACUCCUGCGGGAGGCAGCAGUGGGGAAUUUUGGACAAUGGGCGCAAGCCUGAUCCAGCAAUGCCGCGUGCAGGAAGAAGGCCUUCGGGUUGUAAACUGCUUUUGUACGGAACGAAACGGCUCUGGUUAAUACCCGGGGCUAAUGACGGUACCGUAAGAAUAAGCACCGGCUAACUACGUG